GCUCCGGCCGGCCAAUGAGAAGAGGNNNNNNNNNNCUCCCCUCCCCGGAGCGGCGGCCGCCUCCGCCCCCGCGGCGGCGGGCGGUUUUCGGCCGGGGGCGGCGGGCGCGGGGUGGGGAGGACUGAGGCUGGAAAGGGGAGUGAGUGCUCGGAUUGCCGGAGCGCCGGUCUCGACCCGCGCCUACCGAAAUGAAGCUGCCAUUCGUGAGCUGUGAGUGACGAGCGUGUGUAUCUUAAUUUUCCCACUGCCACUACUGCCAGCUUCCUCCUGCUUCUUCAGUGAUGGUUACCCUGCAGAUGUGAGUGGCUGGCUGAGAGGGACGUGCUGCUGGGUCAGGCAGCAGCUGCCUGGAAAGGUCAAGGGAAAAUUGGAAGGAGGAAGAAAACAAAUGUGGCCAGCAGAUCGAGGGAGGUGAUUCUGCCCCUCUACUCCACUCUGGUAAAACGCCACCUGAAGUACUGCAUCCAGCUCUGGAGCCUUCAGUACAGGAAAGAAAAUGUUGGAACAGGUCCAGAGGAAGGCCAGAUAAAGGAUCAGAGGACUGGAGCACCUCUCCUAUGAAGGCAGGCUGAGAGAGUUGGGCUUGUUCAGCCUGGAGAAGAGAAGACUCCAGGGACACCUUACUGCAGCCUUUCAGUACUUUAAGGGCACCUACAGGAAAGAGUGGGACAAACUUUUCAGCUGGGCCUGUAGCAAUAGGACAAGGGGUAAUGGCUUUAAACUAAGACGGAAGAUUUAGAGUAGAUAUAAAUAAGAAAUUUUUUACCAUGAGAGUGGUGAAACACCAGAACAGGUUGCCCAGAGAGGUGGUAGAUGCCCCAUGCUUGGAAACAUUCAAGGUCAGGUUGGAUGGGGCUCUGAGCAACCUGAUCUAGUUGAAGAUGUCCCUGCUCAUUGCAGGAGAAUUUGUACUAGGUGACCUUUAAAGACCCCUUCCAACCCAAACUAUUCUAUGAUUCUAACAAAUGAUCAUUACAGGAUAAUCAACAGAGAAGACAGAAGGAAUACCAGCAGGAGUGAGAUGGAGAUAAUGCUACACACAGAAGCAACCAGUACAUCCCAAACAUUUUGGCAACAGUGAUGUAUUCCCAGGUGAUGAGGAGAUUACAGUAUGGAGAGAAGUUCUUCUGAGCAUAAAGUGAAGAUGAUUGUAUGCUGGGUUAGAAGCUUCACCAGGGGGAAGUUGCCUGUGGUAGGAGAAGUGCAUGAGCAUGUACUGAAGAGAUGUAGUUAAGGUCACCAGUUAGAUUUUUUUUUUAAAGUUCUUUGGAGUUCUGCUUGUGCAGCAAUGGGACACCAUUGAGGGCAAGGCUGCUGAAGUAUGGUGCUGAGCAAUAAAGUGGUGUGAGAUUUUCA
rnacentral:lncRNA from 1 species